GAUGAAGAACAUAGCGAAAUGCGAUAAGUAAUGUGAAUUGCAGAAUUCAGUGAAUCAUCGAAUCUUUGAACGCACAUUGCGCCCGCCAGCAUUCUGGCGGGCAUGCCUGUUCGAGCGUCAUUUCAACCCUCGAGCCCCCCCGGGGGCCUCGGUGUUGGGGGACGGCACACCAGCCGCCCCCGAAAUGCAGUGGCGACCCCGCCGCAGCCUCCCCUGCGUAGUAGCACACACCUCGCACCGGAGCGCGGAGGCGGUCACGCCGUAAAACGCCCAACUUUCUUAGAGUUGACCUCGGAUCAGGUAGGAAUACCCGCUGAACUUAAGCAUAUCAAUAAGCGGAGGA
rnacentral:misc_RNA from 1 species